CCUACGGGUGGCAGCAGUGAGGAAUAUUGGUCAAUGGCCGGAAGGCUGAACCAGCCAUGCCGCGUGAAGGUCAGUGCCCUAUGGGCGUUAAACUUCUUUUGUGCGGGAGCAAUAAUGGUCACGUGUGGCCAGACGAGAGUACCGUACGAAUAAGCAUCGGCUAACUCCGUGCCAGCAGCCGCGGUAAUACGGGGGAUGCAAGCGUUAUCCGGAUUUAUUGGGUUGAAAGGGUGCGUAGGCUGUGAGGUAAGUCAGCGGUGAAAUGCCCCCGCUCAACGGGGUGAAGUGCCAUUGAUACUGCCUGGCUGGAAUGCGGAUGACGUGGGAGGAAUGUGUGGUGUAGCGGUGAAAUGCAUAGAUAUCACACAGAACACCGAUUGCGAAGGCAUCUCACGAAUCCGCGAUUGACGCUGAUGCACGAAAGCGUGGGUAUCAAACAGGAUUAGAUACCCCAGUAGUC
rnacentral:rRNA from 1 species